rnacentral:lncRNA from 1 species
GUUGGUAUGCAUAUUUUUCCCAUUCGAGGAUAUCCAAUUGUUGUUAUUUGGCUUUAUAUUUGUUUUGGCCAAUUGGAUAUACAAGAAUGCAUAAGUACCUUUCUCUAGCUAUCUAUGCGUUCUCGUCUCAAAUUCUAUUCAUGCUUCAUCACAAAAUUUGAGCAAGCACUUUAUGGAUACUCUGUGUGAGGAGCACUCGGAGAUCCGUCUCGAGAAGGGCUGAAUUCCAAAACCUCCGAAAAUGCAUUUCAGUGUGACCAACCUCAAAAUAUCGGUCCCACCGAAGCCUAGGGUUGAUCUGGUUUUCUCAUCUCGGUACCAUCAGAUCUUUCUUUUAGGCCUCACCGAGUUUCUGUGUUAGCUCACAGUUGAGGAA